AUGCAAGCUAAAUCAAUGAGAAACGUCCACCAAUUUACUAUAAAUAAGACAUCCACAGUAGAAGAAACGAAAUCAUUGAACUUUGUAUUCUGAGCUUUUAAUGUUAAUAAUGUUCUGAAUUUUUUUUCUUCUUAUUUUAGAACAUUAAGCUUUUAUAUUUCAUGAGAGCUGGUAUUUCUUUUGGUUUAUAUGCAGAUACCCUAUUAUGACGAUUUAUUCACUGAAGCUAUAUAUCGAUUUGAUUGUACACCUCUUUGAUAUAUCAUUUCGAUAACAUCUUUGUUCCUCAAUCUGAGAUGAUUUGACGGAAGUGUUCAUAUUUCAGAUCUCUAAGAGUUCACCAUUCCGGUCCUGCAAAAGAUGUGCGCUUAGAAUGGAACUCAUUUGUCUAAAAGAAAAAGCCAAGAAGAUCAUGACAGUAGUCUUGAAGAUCAACACUAUGUCAUUUAACAAUUAUAUUAUUACUUAUUUAUUAUUUAGUUCUCACAAUUUGCCUUGAAUGAAAAAUAUGUCCAUAUUUAUCACAUUAAUGAUGAUUGCAACAUCACGUAACAUAUAUUCAUCAUAUUUAAUUCAAAAGAAUCUAUAUAGGAAUAAAAAUGUAAUAAAUAAUCUAUAUAGCAAUAAAAUGAUUUAUGUUAACACAUUAAAUUCAAAAAAAUCUAUAUAGCAAUAAAAAUGUAAUAAAUUGUACGAAUAUAAUAUUUGAUACUAACUUAUCGUGCAACCAUAUCAACACUGUU